UUAGACUAAAAUUUCUGAAAAAUCUCAUCCUCUUCCAAAAUAAAAAAAAUAAAAAAAAUAAAAUCAAUUUGAAAAAUUUUAGUUUACUUUUCCAUCCUAAGUUCAUAAACCUCCAUGAUUUAGGUAGUAUGUGUUUAUAUUAGAAACCCCAAAUUUCAAUUUAGGGUUCUUAAAAAUUCAAUUGAGAUCUCUACAAAAUUAGUAUGAAGUAUGGGAGCCAACUGAAGUGUUUUGAUGAUUGUAGCUAUUGUAGAAGAAGGAGAACACAUAUAGUACUAUCACCAUCUCCAUCUCUUUUGUGUUAGAAGCUUUUUAUGGUUAAUUAGAGUAGCAUCAAGAGGAGACUAGUUUGAAGUUCAUCAAACCAUUGAAGAACUUACUAGCUAAACUGGAUCUUGGUUCUGAUUUUCUGAAAUUUUGUGUGGAAUUAAUCUUGCUUAAAGUCUUUGAUGGGGCCUAUCCCUUAUGAGGGAUAGAUCCAUUUUCAGGUUAGCUCUGCGGUAGAGAGGAUGUCUACAUGUAUUAUGUGUUUCGGGCGAGGCGAGGAAUUCUUUUGAAAUACAUUUUGUAAAUUAGUUAUUCGUAAAUUAAAAUGUAAUAAUUUCAUAAUAUUUUGUAAAUAGUAUUUACUUAUUUAUGUAAAAAGUUUUAAAUAACUCUGAUAUUAGUUGCUGUGAUCAGCGAAUCACAGGUCAGAUUCAGUCCAGACCACUAUAAGUAUUAUGAUAUUAGUUAUGUACAGA